GAUGAAGAACGCAGCGAAAUGCGAUAAGUAAUGCGAAUUGCAGAAUUCUGUGAGUCAUCGAAUCUUUGAACGCACAUUGCGCCCUGUGGUAUUCCGCAGGGCAUGCCUGUUCGAGCGUCAUUUCAACCCUCAAGCUCUGCUUGGUGUUGGGCCCUGCCCGCUGCGGCCGGCCCUAAAGACAGUGGCGGUGCCGCCUGGCCCUGAGCGUAGUACAUCUCUCGCUCCAGUGCCCGGUGGUAGCCUGCCAGAACCCCAACUCUCGUGGUUGACCUCGGAUCAGGUAGGGAUACCCGCUGAACUUAAGCAUAUCAAUAAGCGGAGGA
rnacentral:misc_RNA from 1 species